rnacentral:rRNA from 1 species
UGGGGAAUAUUGGGCAAUGGAGGCAACUCUGACCCAGCAAUGCCGCGUGAGCGAUGAAGGUCAUCGAUUGUAAAGCUCUUUUCCUGGGAACGAAACAAAUGACGGUACCCAGGGAAUAAGCCCCGGCUAACUACGUGCCAGCAGCCGCGGUAAUACGUAGGGGGCGAGCGUUGUCCGGAAUGACUGGGCGUAAAGGGUGCGUAGGUGGUUUAAUAAGUUAGAAGUGUAAUACCCAGGGCUUAACUCGGGUGCUGCUUCUAAAACUGUUAGGCUUGAGUGUAGUAGAGGAAAGCGGAAUUCAAUGUGUAGCGGUGGAAUGCGUAGAUAUAUUGAAGAACAUCAGUGGCGAAGGCGGCUUUCUGGACUAUAACUGACACUGAGGCACGAAAGCGUGGGGAGCAAACAGGAUUAGAUACCCUGGUAGUCCACGCCGUAACGAUGGAUACUAGAUGCAGGAGGUAUUCACUCCUUCUGUGUCGCAGCUAACGCAAUAAGUAUCCCGCCUGGGGAGUACGAUCGCAAGAUUA